rnacentral:rRNA from 1 species
CUGCGGAGGGAUCAUUACACAAUACAAUAUGAAGGCUGUCCGCAGCUGGAGUAUUUUAUUACCCUUGUCUUUUGCGCACUUGUUGUUUCCUGGGCGGGUUCGCUCGCCACCAGGACCACCAAAUAAACCUUUUUUAUGCAGUUGCAAUCAGCGUCAGUACAAACAAUGUAAAUCAUUUACAACUUUCAACAACGGAUCUCUUGGUUCUGGCAUCGAUGAAGAACGCAGCGAAAUGCGAUACGUAGUGUGAAUUGCAGAAUUCAGUGAAUCAUCGAAUCUUUGAACGCACAUUGCGCCCUUUGGUAUUCCAAAGGGCAUGCCUGUUCGAGCGUCAUUUGUACCCUCAAGCUUUGCUUGGUGUUGGGCGUUUUUGUCUUUGGUCGCCCAAAGACUCGCCUUAAAGUGAUUGGCAGCCGGCCUUUCUGGUUUCGCAGCGCAGCACAUUUUUGCGCUUGCCAUCAGCAAAACGGCAAUCCAUCAAGCCUCCUCUCACGUUGACCUCGAUCAGGUAG